UUUUCUCUCUCAUUUUUCCUCAGUCCCUCUAAAAAAAAUUUCCUGUUGCAGAUCUAUACGAAGAUGAAAACUGAUUUUGAAGUUUUUUGUUUUCCAGGUUGUAGAUCUAUAUGAAGAUGAUAAAAAUGAUUUUAAAGUGUAAGUAACAACAUAUAAGUUUUCUCUGUUCCAUAAUUUUCACUUCUUUUAUUUUUACAUGUUGUAGAUCUAUCAAAACAAAGACGAAUCCGGGUACUAAAACAACAACGACAAUAUGUGUGACAAUAUAAAUUAUGGUUCUACAUCUUCUGAUAGGAAAACAAAAAGUUAAACAUAUGGACAAUUUCUUAACAUUUUUUUUUUCACUUCUUUUUAUUUUUAUUAAUUUUUCUCUCUUCUUUUUAGAAUUUGUCAUAUAUUUUUAAAAUUUUAUAAUUAUGAAGUAGUGUAUCUAUUUUUGUAAUGUU